GAUGAACGCUGGCGGCGUGCCUAAUACAUGCAAGUAGAACGCUGAAGGAGGAGCUUGCUCUUCUGGAUGAGUUGCGAACGGGUGAGUAACGCGUAGGUAACCUGCCUGGUAGCGGGGGAUAACUAUUGGAAACGAUAGCUAAUACCGCAUGACAACAGCUAUUGCAUGAUAACUGUUUAAAAGGGGCAACUGCUCCACUACCAGAUGGACCUGCGGUGUAUUAGCUAGUUGGUGAGGUAACGGCUCACGAAGGCGGCGAUACAUAGUCGACCUGAGAGGGUGGUCGGCCAGACUGGGACGGAGACACGCCCCAGACGCCUAGAGGUGGCAGCAGGAGUGAAUCGGGAGCAAGGGGCGGAAGUCUGACCGCGCAACGCCGCGGGAGGAAAGAAGGUUGUCGGAUCGUAAAGCUCGGUUGUAAGGGAAGAACGAGUGUGAGAGUGGAAAGUUCACACAGUGACGGUAUCUGACCAGAAAGGGACGGCUAACUACGUG
rnacentral:rRNA from 1 species